UAAUUGUUCACACGAAUUUAUUUAUCUUUGUUCCAUUGCUUGGCAAUUGACAUAUACAUGUUGUAAUAACUUUAAAUAAUAUGAUAUGGGUAAAAAGAAUACUGUAUUUUGAUCAUGUUAGAGACCAAAAUAACAAGUAUUGCACUGAAUUAAUUCAUCAGGGGACAAAGUACAUGGGAUUAGGAAGCUUAAAUGUUCUGUUGCCUAAAAAUUCUCCUUGUAGAUCACUCCACUGGUCGCCCACAUUUCCCCAUAUCCUAUACCCUUCUUCUACUAGUUGCUUUCUAAUAUCGGAUUUGUAUUUCACUGCGCUUUGCCCUUUGUACGAGGCCGUCCUCAAGAUUAAUCGCUCAUAGCCAAUGAAUCCUUGAUUAUGCAAAUUAUCGGCAGUGGCUUGGCCAAGAGAUUCUUGGUCUCUGCCAGUGACCAAGAAUACCUUAAACCCACCCUCUACCAGGUCCAGGAAUAGUCUCAGCACGGCAGGAAUAGCUGGACAUCCUCCCAUCAAUGCCCAAGCCUUGAAACCAGCUGGAUCGUAUGGGUCACACCCAUAUCUCUUUCCCUUAUAGUAAAAGACAUUGGAGAUGCAAGUGUCAUCAACGUCAAGAAUCCAGGCAUCCAAGCCAUCACUGGAGGGAACAAUCCCACUCACAUAGCUCCAAAUUUGCUGUGUAAUGAAUUCAAGGUCCCGAUCAUACUGCCCUCCGAUCAUAUAAGCUUCAAUAUAGCGCAAGCACUGAGCAGGAACGGUUCGCCACCCUCGCACAUUGUUGGCCUCCACCGCCAACCUCCAGCUCAGGCAAUAAUUAUUAUUUGCUGCAUCAGGCAUCAGGUUGGCCCUAGUGUAAGGCUUGAGGCCUGCCACCGCCUUAGAGAAUAUUGCUAAGAAGAAAAGCACCAUUAGCUCCUGCAAGCGCUGCGCCAUUGUGCUAAACAUAAUAGGCGUUUUUUCUUCCUACACAAAACUGUCAGUUUGAUUUGUCGGAAAGGGAAGAGAAAAACACAA
rnacentral:misc_RNA from 1 species